UUUCCGUAGGUGAACCUGCGGAAGGAUCAUUCAUAAUAAAGUGUUUUAUGGCACUUUUUAAAAAUCCAUAUCCACCUUGUGUGCAAUGUUAGAUCUCGUCAAUCUUGGCGAGAUUUUUAUACAUCAACUCAUUUUUUAACUAAUUUGUCUGAAAAAUAUUGUGAAUACUUAAUUCAAAAUACAACUUUCAACAACGGAUCUCUUGGCUCUC
rnacentral:misc_RNA from 1 species